AUGCCAGGAUUAUCAGGGCAUGCCCAACGGUUAGCCCCAGAGGUGAUGCCCCGCAGGCCAACUAGGCUCGGAUGCCAGCGUGGCGUUAAAGUGGUAGCUUGCAGAGCACAGGAGGAUUCUGCAGAGGAGACUGCUUCUUCAAACCAAAAAGCAAGAAAAGCUAAGAAAAGGAGAGAGAAGAUCAGGACUGCCAAUGGGAUAGGUUGGAGAGAGAGUGUAUGUGUGGACCCCAAACGAGAUGGUGUCCUCACGUCAGUGCAUUGGGUGAUUAAAAAUCAAACCAGAUGCCUCAAUUAUUUUUACCUACGUGUAGGGCUGGGGCAGCAGCAAGGUGCUGCCCCCGUUGUACAUGCCCUCAGGGCAUGUAAAAUGCAUAGCCUUAAGGUGAUGCCUCGCAUACCAUAUAGGAUCGGAUAUGACGUAAAGUAG
rnacentral:rRNA from 1 species